rnacentral:rRNA from 1 species
AAAGCUCGUAGUUGAAUUUCGGGAUUGACGUGACGGUCGUGCCUUAAGGGGCGUGAACUGUCGCCGUUGAUUUCUCACCUUCUGGAGAAGCUCGAUGUCCUUAAUUGGAUGUCUUGUGGAACCAGGACCUUUACCUUGAAAAAAUUAGAGUGUUUAAAGCAGGCAUUUUGCUCGAAUACAUUAGCAUGGAAUAAUAGAAUAGGACGGCAUGGUUCUAUUUUGUUGGUUUCUAGGAUCACCGUAAUGAUUAAUAGGGAUAGUUGGGGGCAUUAGUAUUCAAUUGUCAGAGGUGAAAUUCUUGGAUUUAUUGAAGACUAACUACUGCGAAAGCAUUUGCCAAGGAUGUUUUCAUUAAUCAAGAACGAAAGUUAGGGGAUCGAAGACGAUCAGAUACCGUCGUAGUCUUAACCAUAAACUAUGCCGACUAGGAAUCAGACGAUGUUAAUUUUUUAAUGACUCGUUCGGCACCUU